UAAUACGGAGGGUGCAAGCGUUAAUCGGAAUUACUGGGCGUAAAGCGCGCGUAGGCGGCUUUGUAAGUCGGAUGUGAAAGCCCUGGGCUUAACCUGGGAAUUGCAUUCGAUACUGCUUAGCUAGAGUAUGGUAGAGGGAAGUGGAAUUUCCGGUGUAGCGGUGAAAUGCGUAGAUAUCGGAAGGAACACCAGUGGCGAAGGCGACUUCCUGGGCCAAUACUGACGCUGAGGCGCGAAAGCGUGGGGAGCAAACAGGAUUAGAUACCCUGGUAGUCCACGCCGUAAACGAUGAGAACUAGAUGUCGGGGGAACUCAGUCUCCCGGUGUCGCAGCUAACGCGUUAAGUUCUCCGCCUGGGGAGUACGCCGGCAACGGUA
rnacentral:rRNA from 1 species